AAACCCUCAACCUUAGAUUGGUUAUUUGACCUUUCUUUGGCUUGGAUUUGGACGUUUGCCGAUGAUAAGUCGGCUCGUCUUAAAAGUAAUAGCUGGAUCUGUCUCGCGACAUGGUUUGACUUGGCGUAAUAAGUAUUUCGCUAAGGACAUCUUCGGAUGGCCCUGUUGCAGACUAAAGACCGCUUUCUAAUCCAUUGAUCUUCGGAUUAAUAUUCAUAAC
rnacentral:misc_RNA from 2 species